UGGAAUCCCCUAUAUUGGGUUACUGAUUUCUCGGAGUCAGAGAUAAAUGCAAUUGAGCAAGCAUUCCCUCAGACGAAAGUUUACUUGUGCCUUUUCCAUCGAAAACAGGCAUGGGGAAGAUGGUUGAAAAAAAAGGAUAAUCUACGUGUACCAAAUGACAUGAAGACAUUUCUGGAUAUGUGGCAAGAAAUUUCAGAAUCACCAACAGAGAGAGAAUUUAGAGAUCGUGUAGAAGAGUUGCGAACGCAUGAGGUUUCUCGGAGAAAAGAGCGUGCAUGGCCAUACUUUCAACAGCAAUGGCUAACGGUAUGUGAAAGAUGGGUGAAAGCGUAUGAGGACAAGGGCAGAUUUGCAACUAUUGACACUACAAAUGGAGUUGAAGCAAUGAACAAGGUUGUAAAACAUUUUUUUCCUUAAACACAAUUCAGACAGGACUUUAACUGGGGUUACUAAGGUUAUAAUAAACCAGUUUCUUCCAAGCCUAAUUAGAAAGUACUGUCUGCAGAAUUCUGCCAUCAAAGCUUAUAACAAAGAUGUUCCACUGUUUUUGCAUAAAAAAACAAACAAGUUUGUGAAACAUGUCAUGCAGCGAUAUGCAUCAGCAAAAGUUGAGUUAACUGCAAGAUCAGUGAGUAGGAGAUCGGAUGGUUCAUUUUGUGUGGAGAGUGCAAAGUCCAAAAACUGUAAUUAUGUAGUAAACUUUGAUAUACCAGAUUGCACAUGUGAAGAUUUUCGGAGAUAUAAAUACUCAUGCAAGCAUUUCUGUGCAAUCUUUAUUUUUUACCCAGAGUGGGGUUUUGAUAAAAUGCCAGAAAGUUAUGACUAGUCCAUUAAUCUGUCUUGAUGAAAUGUAUGGGGUGGGCUUUAGAAGUGGCUCUUCAGUAAUUUCAUAUGAAGGCAGUAGUAGUGACGAAGCUGUUGAGGAGGCAGUUGAAGCAGCUGAGGAGGCUGUCGAGGUUGAGGAGGCUGUCGAGGCAGCAAAUACAGAUGGUGUUGUUCAAACCAAGAAUAUUCCUUUGCAGCAGUUUGAAGCAAGGGAGCUGUGUAAACAGAUUUAUAAUCUCACAUACAACUGCAGCAAGAGCGAAACAUUACAAAAAGUACUUGAAUCACUGAGCAACUGUGUGCAAGAUUUGCAAUUAGCAAAUCCUGAAGUUGGUGGUCUCCCAUUAGCAGUGCCAUCAACUUCCAAACAAUAGCGAAGAACAAUGCCAAAAGCCUUACAAGAUCUGUCUUAAACACAUUAUAACAUCCCAUUUGAAGGGUAAGAAAUGACUGUUUAUUUGAAUUUUAGAUAGCUCUUUGUCUAUGUAAAAUACAAAUAAGCUCCGUCAUUUCUGAUCCUCGAGAUGGAAUGCUAUGAGGUCUUUAUGUUGGUCUCUGCUUUUAAACUUUGUUGCACAUUUGAAUUUCGAAGUAGCAAUAGAUAAAAUAUUAUAAAACGGGUAGUUGCUACAUUUGUGUGUGUGUUUGUGAGUGAGCGAGUGUGCGCGCGCGCUUUUGAAAAGGCCCUUGUUGCCCGAAAGAUAAGUCCGACAGUCUUUUUGUUGUGCCUUUCUGUGACUCAGCAUCUUCACCAUUUGGUGAGCAGCAACAACUAUCCUUUUCAUAAUAUUGUUACAUUCCAUCCUGGAUUUUUCGUUGUUCAUCAGAGAAAAGAUUUUUCUGAGGAAUUAAACUAGAUGGUAGUGUAGAACUUGCAAACUUUUUAAAAUAUGAAGUAAAAGAUUUUAACUUUAAAUUAGGUUAAUUCAAAUAUGGGACAAUGUUGAGAAUUGAAAAGGUGGAAAAAAUAAAUAAGAUAUAUCUUAGUGGCAUUGAGAUGUCGUAUGACUGAUGGAGGAAAGAUUUUGCAUUUCUUUUUCCAAGUAAGAAUGCACUUGCUCUCACUUGCUUCAAAACAUGUCUAGUGAUUCAUGUGAAACAGAGAAAAAGAUACUGCCCUGUUAAUGAACAUGAGAUUGCCCAGUAUCACUCUGACAGAAGAGUAUGGUGUUUCCUUGAUAUGGUAUCUGGUCAGCAAUGUCAUUGGGACCAAAUGAAAGUUACUGCAGAUACCACACAGAAGCAAUUACUGUUACUGGAAUACCAGUAAUGUUUAUUAAAUUCAGUUGUAAAGUAGUUCUGGGCAUUGCAGCUGGCGAGCAAUGUCAUUGGGCACCAAAAGAAGUUCAGUUAUGAUGGAUUUCUGGCCUUCAGUCCAUGGGAAAAUUCACACCAGAUUGCAUCAAGACUGUUAUAUUCCAAGGAUAUCUUGGAAGAUUGAUAGUAUUCCUGAAGGAAAACAAUCCAUAUAGUAUUUCACGUGUGUAUCAAACUGCCAUUUGUUGUGGCACAUAAAUGUUUGCAAUUUGAUUGUAAUUUUCGAACAGUUCCUCAACAGUCCAAGGAUUUCUUGUAAUGAGAAGUAGACAUUGUUGCUUCGGUAAAGGAAAUACAAAUCACGGUCAAUAUAACUACCUUAUUAACUUUCCACAGAGAAAUAUUUUUCACUACUGCUACUUAAAAAUUCAAAUGUGUGACAAAGUUUGCUUACAGAACUUGGCAUAAAGAUCUCCCUUAUUAGUAUUUUUUAGGUAGCUCUUAUUGUUUGAUCCUUCAAAUGGAAUGCUAUGACCUCCAUGUGAUCUAUUCCUUAGUAGUUAAUUAUCCAUUAAGGCACAAAUAUAUGAACAUUACAAUGAGAGGGGUCUUUAUGCUAGGCCCUGUAAAAGUAAUGGCAUCUUACUUAAUAUUAUUGUUGGGAAUUUGAUGGCACAGCUGUGGGGAGACCACAAAUUUCAGGGUUUGCUAACUGCAAAUCUGGCACACAGUUGCUGAGUGAUUCAAGUACUUUUCAUAAUGUUUCACUGUUGAUACAGUUGUAUGUGAGAUGAUAAACCUGUUUGAACACCACCUUCACUUCAAAUUGCUGCAAAGAAAUGGUUAAGGUAUCAGUGUGAUGCUCUAUAUGUGUUUCCUCAACUGUGUCCUCAUUGCUACUGUCUUCAUGUGAAAUUACUGCAGACACACUUCUGAAACCAAACCUGUACAUCUUGUGAAGACAGAUUAAUGGGCUGUUCCUGCAGCUUUCUGGUAUUUUAUCAAAACCCCACUCUGGAUAGAAAAUAAAGAUUGCACAGAAAUGCUUGCAUGGGUAUUUAUAUAUCUCAAAAUCUUCACAUGCGCAGUUUGGUAGAGCAAAGCUUACAACAUAAUUAGUCUUUGAACAUUGUACUCUCCAUAUAAAACAUUGUCCAACUUCACAUUCACUAAUCUUGCAGUUAAUUCAACUUUCCCUGGUGCGUAUCACUGCAUGACAUGUUUCACAAACUUGCUUUUUUCAAAAAAAAAAAAAAAAUGAAAAAACAGUGGAACAUGUCUGUUAUGAUUUGAUGGCAGAAUUCUGCAGACAGUACUUUCUAAUUAGGCUUGGAAGAAAUUGAUUUCUUAUAUCCCUAGUAGCCCCAUUGAAGGUCCCAUCUGUGUUCCAUUUUAGGAAAAAAAAUGUUUACAAUCUUGUUCAUGGCGUCAACUCCACUUGUAAUGUCAAUGGUAUCAAAAUUUAUGUUCAUGUAAUAUUUUUAACAUUGAUUGUAGUAAGGUGUAAUAAUAUGUA